AUUGAACGCUGGCGGCAGGCCUAACACAUGCAAGUCGAACGAGUGGCGGACGGGUGAGUAAUGUCUGGGAAACUGCCCGAUGGAGGGGGAUAACUACUGGAAACGGUAGAUAAUACCGCAUACCAUCGGAUGUGCCCAGAUGGGAUUCGCUAGUAGGGGGGGGAACGGCUCACCUCGGCUACGAUCCGUAGCUGGUCUGAGAGGGUGACCAGCCACAAUGGAACUGAGACACGGUCCAGCCUCCUGCGUGAGGCAGCAGUGGGGAAUAUUGCACAAUGGGCGCAAGCCUGAUGCAGCCAUGCCGCGUGUAUGAAGAAGGCCUUCGGGUUGUAAAGGACUUUCAGCGGGGAGGCGUGACCCGCAGAAGAAGCACCGGCUAACUCCGUGCCAGCAGCCGCGGUAAUUC
rnacentral:rRNA from 1 species